rnacentral:sRNA from 1 species
AGGAGACCGAAAACGCGGCCGAGCCCGGAGCCCGGAGCUGGAGCCAGAGCCUGGACCAGAACUUGGCCGCCGCCUGCACCGCCGCCGCCGCUGCCGCCCGCCGCCCCUUCCCCGCGCCGCAGCCGCCUCGCCGCCACCGCCGCGAGCUCGGCCGCCAAUGGUCCUCGGACUUUAGGUGUCCGGGUUGAAGACAGAACCAAUCAAACUGGUGUUGAACCAUGUUAUGGUGACAAAGAUAAACGGCGGCAUUGUUUUGCUACCUGGAAGAAUAUUU